rnacentral:misc_RNA from 1 species
GCUGAAGAACGCAGCGAAGUGCGAUAAGUAAUGUGAAUUGCAGAAUUCCGUGAAUCAUCGAAUCUUUGAACGCAAAUUGCACUUUCUGGUAUUCCGGAGAGUAUGCCUGUUUGAGGGUCAGUGUAAUAAAUAAAUCGUGGUUGUUACCACCUUUCGUGGUGACGCUUCGGAAUUGAGUCCUCUUACCCUUCGGGUUAAGUGACUUAAAAUUUUUUCAUACGAUUUCGAAACGUAUUUAAUGUAUUAUGUACGUUCACGAAUAUCGAAUGUUUAUUAGGUGCGGUCAUUUUUCAUGAAUUCGCGUCUAUAAUUUUUUUUUUUUGACCUCAAAUCAGGUAAGAAUACCCGCUGAACUUAAGCAUAUCAAUAAGCGGAGGA